GAUGAACGCUGGCGGCGUGCCUAAUACAUGCAAGUCGAGCGAACAGACGAGGAGCUUGCUCCUCUGACGUUAGCGGCGGACGGGUGAGUAACACGUUGAUAACCUACCUAUAAGACUGGGAUAACUUCGGGAAACCGGAGCUAUUACCGGAUAAUAUAUUUAACAGCAUUGUUCAAUAGUUAACGACGGUUUUGCUGUCACUUAUAGAUGGAUCCGCGCCGCAUUAGCUAGUUGUUAAGGUAACGGCUUACCAAGGCAACGAUGCGUAGCCGACCUUAGAGGGUGAUCGGCCACACUGGAACUGAUACACGGUCCAGACUCCUACGAGAGGCAGAAGUAGGGAAUCUUCCGCAAUGGGCGAAAGCAUGACGGAGCAACGCCGCGUUAGUGAUGAAGGUCUUCGGAUCGUAAAACUCUGUUAUUAGGGAAGAACAAAUGUGUAAGUAACUAUGCACGUCUUGACGGUACCUAAUCAGAAAGCCACGGCUAACUACGUG
rnacentral:rRNA from 1 species